AGCUCUAAUAGCGUAUAUUAACGUUGUUGAUGUUAAAAAGCUCGUAGUUGAAAGUCCGGCGCUUAGCGUCUGUCUAGGAAGCUGUAGGAUAGUGUAAAAACUUUCUUGCAGUCAAGUAGACUUUUACUGUGAACAAAAUAGAGUGCUUAAAACAAGCGUGUGCUUGAAUAUCUUAGCAUGGAAUAAUAAAAUACGACUUUAUUCACUAUGUUGGUUUUUGAAUAAGGUAAUGGUUAACAGGAACAGUUGGGGGCAUUUGUAUUUAAUAGUCAGAGGUGGAAUUCUUAGAUUUAUUAAAGACAAACUAAUGCGAAGGCAUUUGCCAAGGAUGUUU
rnacentral:rRNA from 1 species